CCUACGGGAGGCAGCAGUGAGGAAUAUUGGUCAAUGGGCGCGAGCCUGAACCAGCCAAGUCGCGUGAGGGAAGACGGUCCUAUGGAUUGUAAACCUCUUUUGUCGGGGAGCAAAAGACGCCACGCGUGGCGUUCCGAGAGUACCCGAAGAAAAAGCAUCGGCUAACUCCGUGCCAGCAGCCGCGGUAAUACGGAGGAUGCGAGCGUUAUCCGGAUUUAUUGGGUUUAAAGGGUGCGCAGGAGGAAGAGCAAGUCAGCGGUAAAAUUGAGAGGCUCAACCUCUUCGAGCCGUUGAAACUGGUUUUCGUGAGUGAGUGAGAAGUAUGCGGAAUGCGUGGUGUAGCGGUGAAAUGCAUAGAUAUCACGCAGAACUCCGAUUGCGAAGGCAGCAUACCGGCGCUCAACUGACGCUCAUGCACGAAAGUGUGGGUAUCGAACAGGAUUAGAUACCCCUGUAGUC
rnacentral:rRNA from 1 species